rnacentral:rRNA from 1 species
GGGUUGUGAGGUUAAGCGACUAAGCGUACACGGUGGAUGCCCUGGCAGUCAGAGGCGAUGAAGGACGUGCUAAUCUGCGAAAAGCGUCGGUAAGGUGAUAUGAACCGUUACAGCCGGCGAUGUCCGAAUGGGGAAACCCAGUGCAAUUCGUUGCACUAUCGUUAACUGAAUACAUAGGUUAACGAGGCGAACCGGGGGAACUGAAACAUCUAAGUACCCCGAGGAAAAGAAAUCAACCGAGAUUCCCCCAGUAGCGGCGAGCGAACGGGGAGCAGCCCAGAGUCUGAAUCAGCUUGUGUGUUAGUGGAACGGUCUGGAAAGUCCGACGGUACAGGGUGAUAGUCCCGUACACCAAAAUGCACAGGCUGUGAACUCGAAGAGUAGGGCGGGACACGUGGUAUCCUGUCUGAAUAUGGGGGGACCAUCCUCCAAGGCUAAAUACUCCUGACUGACCGAUAGUGAACCAGUACCGUGAGGGAAAGGCGAAAAGAACCCCGGCGAGGGGAGUGAAAAAGAACCUGAAACCGUGUACGUACAAGCAGUGGGAGCACCUUCGGGUGUGACUGCGUACCUUUUGUAUAAUGGGUCAGCGACUUAUAUUCUGUAGCAAGGUUAACCGUAUAGGGGAGCCGCAGGGAAACCGAGUCUUAACUGGGCGUUAAGUUGCAGGGUAUAGACCCGAAACCCGGUGAUCUAGCCAUGGGCAGGUUGAAGGUUGGGUAACACUAACUGGAGGACCGAACCGACUAAUGUUGAAAAAUUAGCGGAUGACUUGUGGCUGGGGGUGAAAGGCCAAUCAAACCGGGAGAUAGCUGGUUCUCCCCGAAAGCUAUUUAGGUAGCGCCUCGUGAACUCAUCUUCGGGGGUAGAGCACUGUUUCGGCUAGGGGGUCAUCCCGACUUACCAACCCGAUGCAAACUACGAAUACCGAAGAAUGUUAUCACGGGAGACACACGGCGGGUGCUAACGUCCGUCGUGAAGAGGGAAACAACCCAGACCGCCAGCUAAGGUCCCAAAGUCAUGGUUAAGUGGGAAACGAUGUGGGAAGGCACAGACAGCCAGGAUGUUGGCUUAGAAGCAGCCAUCAUUUAAAGAAAGCGUAAUAGCUCACUGGUCGAGUCGGCCUGCGCGGAAGAUGUAACGGGGCUAAACCAUGCACCGAAGCUGCGGCAGCGACACUAUGUGUUGUUGGGUAGGGGAGCGUUCUGUAAGCCUGCGAAGGUGACCUGUGAGGGUUGCUGGAGGUAUCAGAAGUGCGAAUGCUGACAUAAGUAACGAUAAAGCGGGUGAAAAGCCCGCUCGCCGGAAGACCAAGGGUUCCUGUCCAACGUUAAUCGGGGCAGGGUGAGUCGACCCCUAAGGCGAGGCCGAAAGGCGUAGUCGAUGGGAAACAGGUUAAUAUUCCUGUACUUGGUGUUACUGCGAAGGGGGGACGGAGAAGGCUAUGUUAGCCGGGCGACGGUUGUCCCGGUUUAAGCAUGUAGGCUGGUUAUCCAGGCAAAUCCGGAUAAUCAAGGCUGAGGUGUGAUGACGAGGUACUACGGUGCUGAAGUAACAAAUGCCCUGCUUCCAGGAAAAGCCUCUAAGCAUCAGGUAACAUUAAAUCGUACCCCAAACCGACACAGGUGGUCAGGUAGAGAAUACCAAGGCGCUUGAGAGAACUCGGGUGAAGGAACUAGGCAAAAUGGUGCCGUAACUUCGGGAGAAGGCACGCUGGUGUGUAGGUGAAGUCCCUGCGGAUGGAGCUGAGACCAGUCGAAGAUACCAGCUGGCUGCAACUGUUUAUUAAAAACACAGCACUGUGCAAACACGAAAGUGGACGUAUACGGUGUGACGCCUGCCCGGUGCCGGAAGGUUAAUUGAUGGGGUUAUCCGUAAGGAGAAGCUCUUGAUCGAAGCCCCGGUAAACGGCGGCCGUAACUAUAACGGUCCUAAGGUAGCGAAAUUCCUUGUCGGGUAAGUUCCGACCUGCACGAAUGGCGUAAUGAUGGCCAGGCUGUCUCCACCCGAGACUCAGUGAAAUUGAACUCGCUGUGAAGAUGCAGUGUACCCGCGGCAAGACGGAAAGACCCCGUGAACCUUUACUAUAGCUUGACACUGAACAUUGAGCCUUGAUGUGUAGGAUAGGUGGGAGGCUUUGAAGCGUGGACGCCAGUCUGCGUGGAGCCAACCUUGAAAUACCACCCUUUAAUGUUUGAUGUUCUAACGUUGGCCCCUGACCGGGGUUGCGGACAGUGUCUGGUGGGUAGUUUGACUGGGGCGGUCUCCUCCCAAAGCGUAACGGAGGAGCACGAAGGUUAGCUAAUCCUGGUCGGACAUCAGGAGGUUAGUGCAAUGGCAUAAGCUAGCUUGACUGCGAGCGUGACGGCGCGAGCAGGUGCGAAAGCAGGUCAUAGUGAUCCGGUGGUUCUGAAUGGAAGGGCCAUCGCUCAACGGAUAAAAGGUACUCCGGGGAUAACAGGCUGAUACCGCCCAAGAGUUCAUAUCGACGGCGGUGUUUGGCACCUCGAUGUCGGCUCAUCACAUCCUGGGGCUGAAGUAGGUCCCAAGGGUAUGGCUGUUCGCCAUUUAAAGUGGUACGCGAGCUGGGUUUAGAACGUCGUGAGACAGUUCGGUCCCUAUCUGCCGUGGGCGCUGGAGAAUUGAGGGGGGCUGCUCCUAGUACGAGAGGACCGGAGUGGACGCAUCACUGGUGUUCGGGUUGUCAUGCCAAUGGCACUGCCCGGUAGCUAAAUGCGGAAGAGAUAAGUGCUGAAAGCAUCUAAGCACGAAACUUGCCCCGAGAUGAGUUCUCCCUGAGACUUUAAGUCUCCUGAAGGAACGUUAAAGACGAUGACGUUGAUAGGCCGGGUGUGUAAGCGCAGCGAUGCGUUGAGCUAACCGGUACUAAUGAACCGUGAGGCUUAACCUUACAACGCCGAAG